rnacentral:siRNA from 1 species
GAUGUGCUUCAAGUGCCUGGCCGU